AUUGAACGCUGGCGGCAGGCCUAACACAUGCAAGUCGAACGGUAACAGGAAGCAGCUUGCUGCUUUGCUGACGAGUGGCGGACGGGUGAGUAAUGUCUGGGAAACUGCCCGAUGGAGGGGGAUAACUACGGGAAACGGUAGCUAAUACCGCAUAACGUCGCAAGACCAAAGAGGGGGACCUUAGGGCCUCUUGCCAUCGGAUGUGCCCAGAUGGGAUUAGCUAGUAGGUGGGGUAACGGCUCACCUAGGCGACGAUCCCUAGCUGGUCUGAGAGGAUGACCAGCCACACUGGAACUGAGACACGGUCCAGACUCCUACGGGAGGCAGCAGUGGGGAAUAUUGCACAAUGGGCGCAAGCCUGAUGCAGCCAUGCCGCGUGUAUGAAGAAGGCCUUCGGGUUGUAAAGUACUUUCAGCGGGGAGGAAGGGAGUAAAGUUAAUACCUUUGCUCAUUGACGUUACCCGCAGAAGAAGCACCGGCUAACUCCGUG
rnacentral:rRNA from 1 species